UAUUUUUAACUUUGAGUCCACACAUACGACCGUCACACUCGAAUGGGUGCCGCGCCUAAAAAGCGGUUUUCGAGUGGGGUGUAUGGAGGCCCAAC
rnacentral:sRNA from 19 species